GAUGAACGCUGGCGGCGUGCCUAAUACAUGCAAGUCGAGCGAACGGACGAGAAGCUUGCUUCUCUGAUGUUAGCGGCGGACGGGUGAGUAACACGUGGAUAACCUACCUAUAAGACUGGGAUAACUUCGGGAAACCGGAGCUAAUACCGGAUAAUAUUUUGAACCGCAUGGUUCAAAAGUGAAAGACGGUCUUGCUGUCACUUAUAGAUGGAUCCGCGCUGCAUUAGCUAGUUGGUAAGGUAACGGCUUACCAAGGCAACGAUGCAUAGCCGACCUGAGAGGGGGAUCGGCCACACUGGAACUGAGACACGGUCCAGACUCCUACGGGAGGCAGCAGUAGGGAAUCUUCCGCAAUGGGCGAAAGCCUGACGGAGCAACGCCGCGUGAGUGAUGAAGGUCUUCGGAGCGUAAAACUCUGUUAUUAGGGAAGAACAUAUGUGUAAGUAACUGUGCACAUCUUGACGGUACCUAAUCAGAAAGCCACGGCUAACUACGUG
rnacentral:rRNA from 1 species